CUUGGUCAUUUAGAGGAAGUAAAAGUCGUAACAAGGUCUCCGUUGGUGAACCAGCGGAGGGAUCAUUACCGAGUUUACAACUCCCAAACCCCUGUGAACAUACCUAUCGUUGCUUCGGCGGAUCCGCCCCGGCGCCCUCGGGCCCGGAUCAGGCGCCCGCCGGAGACCCCAAACUCUUGUAUUUCUUUAGUAUCUCCUGAGUAAACAAGCAAAUAAAUUAAAACUUUCAACAACGGAUCUCUUGGUUCUGGCAUCGAUGAAGAACGCAGCGAAAUGCGAUAAGUAAUGUGAAUUGCAGAAUUCCGUGAAUCAUCGAAUCUUUGAACGCACAUUGCGCCCGCCAGUACUCUGGCGGGCAUGCCUGUUCGAGCGUCAUUUCAACCCUCAAGCCCCCGGGCUUGGUGUUGGGGCUCGGCCCGUCCCUCGUGGCGCGCCGUCCCCGAAAUCCAGUGGCGGUCACGCUGUACUCCUCUGCGUAGUAAUCCAACCUCGCAACGGGACAAAGCCUGGCCACGCCGUUAAACCCCCCACUUCUGAAGGUUGACCUCGGAUCAGGUAGGAAUACCCGCUGAACUUAAGCAUAUCAAUAAGCGGAGGA
rnacentral:rRNA from 1 species